CAGUAGCCGCGGGAAUACGAAGGGGGCGAGCGUUGCUCGGAAUGACUGGGCGUAAAGGGCGCGUAGGUGGUACGGACAGUCAGAUGUGAAAUUCCCGGGCUCGACCUGGGGGCUGCAUUUGAUACGUCCGAACUAGAGUGUGGAAGAGGGUCGUGGAAUUCCCAGUGUAGAGGUGAAAUUCGUAGAUAUUGGGAAGAACACCGGUGGCGAAGGCGGCGACCUGGUCCAUUACUGACGCUGAGGCGCGAAAGCGUGGGGAGCAAACAGGAUUAGAUACCCCAGUAGUCCCUGUCUCUUAUAC
rnacentral:rRNA from 1 species